GGAGGGAUCAUUACCG
rnacentral:rRNA from 1 species